rnacentral:misc_RNA from 1 species
AAGUCGUAACAAGGUUUCCGUAGGUGAACCUGCGGAAGGAUCAUUGAGAAUUUGGAGGUGCAGGUUUUCUCUUUGUUGGAUGGAUUUCGGUCCUGAAGGCUUUGGGGGGGCUUGUAUUUUCUUUGUGAACUGUUUUUUUGGGUUUUUGAUUUUUUUGGUACUUUGUAUUUUUUUAAAAAAGUUUCUUUAUAGACAACUUUCAGCAAUGGAUCUCUAGGCUCUU